UACGAACCGUCCUAACGUUGUUCGGAAUCACUGGGCUUAAAGGGCGCGUAGGCGGCCUUGUAAGUCGGGGGUGAAAUCCCACGGCCUAACCGUGGAAGUGCCUCCGAUACUGCAAGGCUCGAGGGAGGUAGGGGCAGCUGGAACUUCCGGUGGAGCGGUGAAAUGCGUUGAUAUCGGAAGGAACGCCGGUGGCGAAAGCGAGCUGCUGGACCUCUGCUGACGCUGAGGCGCGAAAGCCAGGGGAGCAAACGGG
rnacentral:rRNA from 1 species